GAUGAACGCUGGCGGCGUGCCUAAUACAUGCAAGUCGAGCGAACAGAUGAGGAGCUUGCUCCUCUGACGUUAGCGGCGGACGGGUGAGUAACACGUGGAUAACCUACCUAUAAGACUGGGAUAACUUCGGGAAACCGGAGCUAAUACCGGAUAAUAUAUUGAACCGCAUGGUUCAAUAGUGAAAGACGGUUUUGCUGUCACUUAUAGAUGGAUCCGCGCCGCAUUAGCUAGUUGGUAAGGUAACGGCUUACCAAGGCGACGAUGCGUAGCCGACCUGAGAGGGUGAUCGGCCACGCUGGAACUGAGACACGGUCCAGACUCCUACGGGAGGCAGCAGUAGGGAAUCUUCCGCAAUGGGCGAAAGCCUGACGGAGCAACGCCGCGUGAUUGAUGAAGGUCUUCGGAUCGUAAAACUCUGUUAUUAGGGAAGAACAAAUGUGUAAGUAACUAUGCACGUCUUGACGGUACCUAAUCAGAAAGCCACGGCUAACUACGUG
rnacentral:rRNA from 1 species